rnacentral:rRNA from 1 species
UACGUAGGGUGCAAGCGUUGUCCGGAAUUAUUGGGCGUAAAGAGCUCGUAGGCGGUCUGUCGCGUCUGCUGUGAAAUCUCAGGGCUUAACCCUGAGCUUGCAGUGGGUACGGGCAGACUAGAGUGCGGUAGGGGAGACUGGAAUUCCUGGUGUAGCGGUGAAAUGCGCAGAUAUUAGGAAGAACACCGGUGGCGAAGGCGGGUCUCUGGGCCGAAACUGACGCUGAGGAGCGAAAGCGUGGGGAGCGAACAGG